GUUACAUAUACUGCACUGUGCUAUACGUAUUAUACAGAUCGGCAUGGAGCAGUGAUUCUAGAGAAGAACCAUUUGUUCAAGCCAAUGAUCCUAUGAUGAUUGUUAAUGUAUAGUUAAGAAAUAAGGUGGAAUGCCAGUCACGUACCUUGAAAACAGAAGUCAUUUUCCCCACACAGACCUCAAGAUGGUGCUACAGGACUACAAAGAUAUCAUUGCUACAAUUGCCACCAUUGUCACUAUCAUUCAGUUCCUCAGUGGCAUUGAUAUUUGCCGCAAGAUUAUCAAGCAGGGAUCCACUGGGGACAUUUCUGGCUUCCCCUUUGUUGGGGGAGUUUUCUCAACUAGCACCUGGCUCACCUACAGCCUUCUGUUAUGGGAUGCCUCCAUGUCUAUCACCAAUGCUGUGGGACUCACCCUACAGGUAAUCUACCUUUCUACUUACGUGAGGUACUGCAUUGCCUCAGGGCCUUGGCGAACAGUGCGCAAACAGAUGUUGAUAACAACACUGGUGGUGGCUGCCAUUCAGUACUAUGUCUUCCUUUCAGAUGAUGAAAAUGAGACCAUCAAGACACACAUUGGUCUGAUGUGUUGUCUGGGGAGCAUCAUCUUCUGUGCCUCACCACUCGUCUCUCUGGCUGAAGUAUUCCGCACACAAAGCACUGACAUGCUGCCCUUCCCCCUCAUCUUUGCCACAUUCCUGGUCUCUGGCCUGUGGUGCCUGUAUGGAAUCAUCAUCCAAAACAGCUUUGUCAAGUAUCCUAACUUGAUUGGUUUUGGUCUCUCUGGCUUCCAGCUGUUUCUCUUCAUUGUGUACCCCAGCAAGAGAAAAGUUUCAGGUGUAACUGGAUACCCAGAAAUCAGAUAAGAUAGUGCAUUUUCUCCAUUGAUGAUGAAAUUUGCGAAUAUGGUCGACAAAAACAUUGUCUAUUGAAUAGUGCAGAAGAAAAUGUAAGAGGAAUCUUAACAUCAGUGAAAUAGACAAUGUGACAGGCGAGUCAAGGGGCGUGUAGGUGAGCAGGAUGCAUGCAGCUGUCUGGACCCACCUUCCUUCCCACAGAUAUUUAUUCCAAUAUAUAUAUUUUGUAUUAGAGUUGUAUAUUUUGUAUUUAAAUCUGAAAUGACAUGUUGAAGUUUUUAAGUAACUUGCAAGUGUGUACAUUAGUGUGUGUUAUGAUGAAGUGAGUGUGUUAUCUAUAAGAGUAGAAUGUUCUCUUCAGUAAUGUGAUGAUAUUUAACCUCAUUUUCUAUAGUUGUGAAAAUAUUUUAUGACAUGACUACAUGAAAAUGAGCAACCAAAUUUGUUCUCUUCAAGGAAGAUUUUAGAAAUAGAAAUAUAUAGGUUACUCUGUAAAAAAUUAUUUUAUACAUGAAGUACGUAUUUUGAUAUUGAUGAUUUUUCAGUUCACAUGACAUUUACUAGGUAACAGAAUGAUCAUACACUUAAUGUAUUGUUUUAAUUUGCUGAUUGUCAAUGUAUGAAAGCAUGAAAUCAUGUUAUCAUUUGCUCAAACUUUUCAUAAAACUGAGACCCAGAAAUAUUUUUUCUACUUUAAUGUUGGCAUUGGACAUGCUGACUUAUAGUUAUGAGAAAGGGAUUAGUCACCACUGAGUGGUGAUGUUGGAAGCCAAUGGUCAGUCCUGACAAAAUGAACCAUUGCAAUUUAUCACCAAACAGGAAUUAGCCUACAUGUAGGUAUUCAGGUAUUGCUCUGUGCCUUAUUCUGUGUCAAGUAAGUUAUGGUGGUUUAAGUAUGUUGGU
rnacentral:misc_RNA from 1 species